CGAGAAGCUCAUCUUCGGAUGAGUGGAGAGUGGCGCACGGGUGAGUAACACGUAGCUGAUCUGCCCUGAAGAGGGGAAUAACGCUCCGAAAGGAGUGCUAAGACCCCAUAAGCUCACACAAACUAGAGGCGUGUGAGAAAAAGCUCCGGCGCUUUGGGAUGAGGCUGCGGUCCAUCAGCUAGUUGGUGAGGUAAAGGCUCACCAAGGCAACGACGGAUAGGGGACCUGAGAGGGUGAACCCCCACACUGGCACUGAGACACGGGCCAGACUCCUACGGGAGGCAGCAGUGAGGAAUAUUGCACAAUGGGCGCAAGCCUGAUGCAGCGACGCCGCGUGGGCGAGGAAGGUCUUCGGAUCGUAAAGCCCUUUUCCAGGUGACGAGAAAGGACGGUAGCCUGGGAAUAAGUCUCGGCUGACUACGUGCCAGCAGCCGCGGUAAAACGUAGGAGGCGAGCGUUAUCCGGAGUUACUGGGCGUAAAGCGCGUGUAGGCGGUUGUGCAGGUCAGUCGUGAAAGCUCCCAGGCUAAACCGGGAGAGGUCGUCUGAAACCGCAUAACUAGAGUGUGGCAGAGGGAUGUAGAAUUCCGGGUGUAGUGGUGAAAUGCGUAGAUAUCCGGAGGAAUACCAGUGGCGAAGGCGGCAUCCUGGGCCACAACUGACGCUGAGACGCGAAAGCAUGGGGAGCGAACGGGAUUAGAAACCCCGGUAGUCCAUGCCGUAAACGAUGCACACUAGGUGUUCGUGUCACGAAACUGGCGUGAGUGCCGCAGCCAACGCGAUAAGUGUGCCGCCUGGGGAGUACGGUCGCAAGGCUAAAACUCAAAGAAAUUGACGGGGGCCCGCACAAGCAGCGGAGCGUGUGGUUUAAUUCGAAGAUACGCGAAGAACCUUACCUGGGCUUGACAUCCCACGAACAAACCCGAA
rnacentral:rRNA from 1 species